GAGGCGGUAGCUCAGUUGGUAGAGCAACGGACUUUUAAUCCGUAGGUCCUGGGUUCGAUCCCCAGCCGCCUCA
rfam:Gemmatimonadetes bacterium 13_2_20CM_2_66_5 13_2_20cm_2_scaffold_10785, whole genome shotgun sequence.